GACGUAGGAGGCGAGCGUUGUCCGGAGUUACUGGGCGUAAAGGGUGCGCAGGCGGCCCCUUAAGGUGGCGGUGAAAGCUCCUGGCUCAACCUGGGAACAGCAGCCGAAACUGCAGGACUUGAAUGUUGGAGAGGGUGGGGGAAUACCUAGUGGAGAAGUGAAAUUCGUAGAGAUUAGGUGGAACACCAGAGGCGAAGGCGCCUGCCUGGCCAAACAUUGACGCUGAGGCGCGAAAGCGUGGGGAGCAAACAGG
rnacentral:rRNA from 1 species